UCCUGCAUGUCCAUAUCGAAGUAGUUGCCCUCGUUCUUCGGGAGAACCCAGAAGUCUGGCGUCGAGGAGUCUACGUCUGGGGGGUAGGCCUUGGUUAGUCCCAUACUCAAAGUACCACUCAUCUUCGCCCCACUUGAGGAGAGAAAUUCUGCC
rnacentral:SRP_RNA from 16 species